rnacentral:rRNA from 1 species
AAUAGAUACCCAGGUAGUCCAUGCCGUAAACGUUGGGCACUAGGUGUGGGGGACAUUCCACGUUUUCCGCGCCGUAGCUAACGCAUUAAGUGCCCCGCCUGGGGAGUACGGCCGCAAGGCUAAAACUCAAAGGAAUUGACGGGGGCCCGCACAAGCGGCGGAGCAUGCGGAUUAAUUCGAUGCAACGCGAAGAACCUUACCAAGGCUUGACAUGGACCGGAUCGCUGCAGAAAUGUGGUUUCUCCUUUUGGGGCCGGUUCACAGGUGGUGCAUGGUUGUCGUCAGCUCGUGUCGUGAGAUGCUGGGUUAAGUCCCGCAACGAGCGCAACCCUCGUUCCAUGUUGCCAGCACGUGAUGGUGGGGACUCAUGGGAGACUGCCGGGGUCAACUCGGAGGAAGGUGGGGACGACGUCAAAUCAUCAUGCCCCUUAUGUCUUGGGCUUCACGCAUGCUACAAUGGCCGGUACAAAGGGUUGCGAUACUGUGAGGUGGAGCUAAUCCCAAAAAGCCGGUCUCAGUUCGGAUUGGGGU